rnacentral:sRNA from 1 species
AGUAAAACGAGUUUGUAUUUUGGGGAAAAAAAUGCUGAAUUUUCACUCCUGUGUCAUUCUGUAGGAUAGUGAAUAUUACAACUCUUUGAAAUGGAUCCUGGAGAAUGACCCUACUGAGCUGGACCUCAUGUUCUGCAUAGACGAAGAAAACUUUGGACAGACAUAUCAAGUGGAUUUGAAGCCCAAUGGGUCAGAAAUAAUGGUCACAAAUGAAAACAAAAGGGAAUAUAUCGACUUAGUCAUCCAGUGGAGAUUUGUGAACAGGGUCCAGAAGCAGAUGAACGCCUUCUUGGAGGGAUUCACAGAACUACUUCCUAUUGAUUUGAUUAAAAUUUUUGAUGAAAAUGAGCUGGAGUUGCUCAUGUGUGGCCUCGGUGAUGUGGAUGUGAAUGACUGGAGACAGCAUUCUAUUUACAAGAACGGCUACUGCCCAAACCACCCCGUCAUUCAGUGGUUCUGGAAGGCUGUGCUACUCAUGGACGCCGAAAAGCGUAUCCGGUUACUGCAGUUUGUCACCGGGACAUCGCGAGUACCUAUGAAUGGAUUUGCCGAACUUUAUGGUUCCAAUGGUCCUCAGCUGUUU